UUGGCAGUGCUGGACACCAAAUUCCAUCAUUUAUCCAUAGAACAGGUGCAGCAUGGGCAGCGCAGGGCAAGUCUCCCCCUCAAUAUCCCAGUUCCCUUAUACCUUAUCCCAGCCCUGGAGGGACUCUACAUGUAGGAGUGGGAGUGGAGCUCAGUCUCCACGGCCCAUUCAGUUCCAGGCCUCU
ensembl:misc_RNA